AGCUUGGUGGGAAACAGUUCACACGGUGUUACAAGCGAUAGAGCACCAUACUCAAUUAGCCUGAAUAGUUACAAUCCAAU
rnacentral:SRP_RNA from 1 species